rnacentral:lncRNA from 7 species
GGGUAUCUUACUGGAGAUUUCUAUGUGCUUGAGGUCUUUUGAAGUUGAAAAUAUGAAAGUUACGGAAGCUCACAGAAAUAAUAGGAAUCACAUAACUCUCAUUUAAAAAGAAAUUAAAAAUUGAGAUCAUCAUCAUGCCAAACCCCAAGGGGAAGUUGUGGCUCGCUGGCAGCAACAGUCCUCCUGCCCCAUCUUUGCCUCUGUGAACCUUGGUAAAUAUCACUUGUUGCCUGAGUCUGACUGCUCCAUGAGGAACUGCUGUUUGUAUGCCGGCUGUUCUUGCACUAGAAGAUAUAGUAUAUGGUAGCUGUAAUAAUAGUUGUCAUCUAGGAAUGAAUCCCUGAUGGAAAUUUAGCCUGAUCUUGCUGCCCUGUUCUUUUGUUUCCCAUGCAAGCAUCAGCGCUGCUGAAACUCUGUAGAACAUGGCUGCAGCCCACAGCCCCUCUUCCUCCUGUGCUCAUUGUUGCCUUCCCACAGUUGAGCUCAGUAUGGGUUCAUCAGUCUGAGUUGCUUCAGAAAAACUCAGCUGUGCCUCUUAAAAUCAAGCCAUAAAAUUGAGGCCAUACCAAAUGCUGUACCUUUCAUGUAUGAAUGAAGAAGGGACUUCAUGGUCAGCUGGGCCACUAGGAGAAGUGAGAGGCUCAGCAUAUGGGGGUCAGUGUGUUAAGUAUUUUCCCCCAUUUAAAAUGACCAUGCUGGCUCAUGUUUUGAAAUGAGGGCAGGGGAGAGCUUCCCUUUCACAACCCAGAGCCACGCAAAAAGAAGAAAAACAUCUUGAAUACCAAGGGCAGCAGAAGAAGUCGGUUGGGUUACCCUUGCACUAUGCAGACAUCUGUGAAAAUUUCAUGCUUCUGUGCAGAUUCAUUCCAUGCAGAUUUCAUGCAGAUUCUCCAAAGGGCUGAAUUUGGCUGUAAGUCUCUCACAGAAUACUUCCGCUCUCCUGUGCUUUUCUAAGGACACGUUGUUAAUGGCCCUUGGUGUAGAGACACUGGAAGAUGCAAACGAAAUGUCUGAACAACAGGAGGGGGCAGGCUUAAACUGAUAAAAAGUGAGACAAUCAAACUAGCUGUAAACCUGGAAAUGCUGUUCUCAGCUCCUAGCGUGUGCAGGAAAUGCAGCACAUAUGGCACAGAGAAUCACCUGGAGCUAGGCCUCUUUGUUGCACCUUGGCACAGGAGAGCAGGAGCAAAGCAGAGAUGCAGAUAUUAACCCUCAGUUGUCUCAUAAGGAUUGGAUUAAUUCAGUUCUGAUACGUGGCUUCCAGAUUACAUAUACAAGAUGUUAAAAAUAGAAUCAUUACUAAAUGUGCUUUGCUGUGCUUAAGUGUAGGUAACGGUGCAUUUUUGUUGAUUUAAAAACUUUCAGUAUCAUUCUUUCUAAUGUUUAAGAAGAUGCGGAUGAAUUUAAUUGUACUUUCUGGAAGUGUUUAAUUUGAUUCUAACAAUAUUUCUGAUGCACUUUGGAAAAGCUGUUUCUGAUACGCUUCUAAGUGGGCUUCUCAGUGUGCCUUAGAAUAGCUAAUCAAUUAUUGAGGCUUUAGAUGAAGACAGGCAGCAUUAUCAUUAUGCAGGGGAGUCAAGUAAAGCAUGAGGAUGUAAAUAUUUGCUACGUUGACCUGGACAGUGCUUCUCACUGUUUGGAGAGUACUCAUCAGGAAAAGGAUCUCUGAACAACUGACACCGUCCCGAACUUUGACUCAAAGCUGGCAAAUGGUUUUCUCAGAAAAAAAUGAAAGCCAAGUUGAAAAAUGAAGCGGAACAUCUGAUACUGAGUAUUUAGCAAUAUUUCUCCUUUGGUCUUUGAAAAAUUGGUCUUUGAGAACUUUAAAAACAAAAAGAUUUCUGAGGUUUGGGGUUUUUGGCAUGACGUUUUUCAUUUAUUUGGGGGGAAAAAAAGGAUAAAGAAUCUUCAGAAUGAAACAAAAUACUUAAGGGUUGAUGUGAACCCAUAUUUUUUUAAUUCGAGAGACCCUCCUCAGAGCCCCGAAUGCUGCUGCUUCUGCCUCCCUUCCUGCUCCGAAUUUGUGUGUGUGUCUACUUUACCACAGAUCUUCUUGACACCAGCAAGUAUGUGCCCUGGCUGUCACAGUAAUGCACAUAAAUCUCAGGGCAGUUUUAUGAUGUUUCCUAGCAUUUUUUUCAUAGUUUAAUGACUUUUUUUAAAGGUUACUACAUGAAGUAGUGUCAUCAUUCUGAUAUAUAAAUUGUAUACAAAACUAAAUAAAAUUCUACAUCUUU